UACGUAGGGUGCAAGCGUUAAUCGGAAUUACGUUGGGACGUAAAGCGUGCGCAGGCGGUUGUGUAAGACAGAUGUCGAAAUCCCCGGGCUCAACCUGGGAACGUGCAUUGUGACUGCACAGCUGGAGUGCGGCAGAGGGGAUGGAAUUCCGCGUGUAGCAGUGAAAUGCGUAGAUAUGCGGAGGAACACCGAUGCGAAGGCAAUCCCUGGCCUGCACUGACGCUCAUGCACGAAAGCGUGGGGAGCAAACAGG
rnacentral:rRNA from 1 species